UACGUAGGGUGCAGGCGUUGUCCGGAAUUAUUGGGCGUAAAGAGCUCGUAGGCGGUCUGUCGCGUCGGAUGUGAAAAUCCAGGGCUCAACCCUGGACCUGCAUUCGAUACGGGCAGACUAGAGUACUGCAGGGGAGACUGGAAUUCCUGGUGUAGCGGUGAAAUGCGCAGAUAUCAGGAGGAACACCGGUGGCGAAGGCGGGUCUCUGGGCAGUAACUGACGCUGGAGGAACGAAAGCGUGGGUAGCGAACAGG
rnacentral:rRNA from 1 species